AUAUAUUCAAGUGUCUAAAACACGUUUUUUUCUCAGCAUGUAUUGGAAGUUUUCAAACGCAAGAAAUACUUUGCAUUUUAUCCAUUUUUAUCUUUUUUUUGAAAUGCAUAUGUUAAAGUGUAUGGUAUGCAAAUAUCAAACCAAAAAUUAGGUUUGGUUGGGUGCCCAAAAAUUCCAAUCUGCCCAAUAAUCUUCAAUGGUCCUUUUGCUGCAAUGCCGAUUGCAGUCAGAGGAACCACGUUAACGAAAGGAUAUUGUGGCCUUCAGGAUCGUAUUGCAUCUUCAGAUGCGGUGGUUCGUGUUCAAGGAAUUUUCAUGAAGGCUCCAUUUAUUGGGACGACGAAGACUCAAGCAACAAUAAUAAAAAAAGCGGAAUGCUUCCAGACGGAACGUAUGGUAGAAAUACUAAAAUAUUCUUCUGUUGUCGUCAUGAUCCCAGACUUCUAACUGGUCUACCCAAGUGUUCUCAAAUGAUGCUUAUGCGAUACAAAGGAAUUUGCCCUCAAUCUGGCGGUUAUUCCAGACCAAAAACUGGAUUCUUGCAAUGGGACACGGAGAACAACUCUAAUCGAGAUAAACUCGUCGGUCAUUUUCCCGAUGGCGAGAAGACAUUUAACAGUGGCAUAAAGAUUGAAUUUUGUUCAUACACUUCAAUUGGUACAUGUUAAAUUAACAUGUUGAAAGAACAGCCUUUAAUGAAAUUAAAUCAUAAAGAUCAUAGAAAAGGAUGAUUUUUUUGUGGGUUUUCUAAGCAUUAGCGAGGUCACCCAAUUUUGUAGGAUUUAGUCGUAAACAAAAUUAUGUAUAUCUUUAAUGUGUCAGCUUAAAAUGAAUAAUAAAUUGCUCAGUCGUUCA